GAUGAACGCUGGCGGCGUGCCUAAUACAUGCAAGUCGAGCGAACCACUUCGGUGGUGAGCGGCGAACGGGUGAGUAACACGUAGGUGAUCUGCCCAUCAGACGGGGACAACGAUUGGAAACGAUCGCUAAUACCGGAUAGGACGAAAGUUUAAAGGUGCUUCUGGCACCGCUGAUGGAUGAGCCUGCGGCGCAUUAGCUAGUUGGUAGGGUAAAGGCCUACCAAGGCGACGAUGCGUAGCCGACCUGAGAGGGUGAACGGCCACACUGGGACUGAGACACGGCCCAGACUCCUACGGGAGGCAGCAGUAGGGAAUCUUAGGCAAUGGGCGAAAGCCUGACCGAGCAACGCCGCGUGAAUGAUGAAGGCCUUCGGGUUGUAAAAUUCUGUUAUAAGGGAAGAACGACUUUAGUAGGAAAUGGCUAGAGUGUGACGGUACCUUAUGAGAGAGCCACGGCUAACUACGUGCCAGCCGCCGCGGUAA
rnacentral:rRNA from 1 species